CCAAAGGCACGUGUCGUUGG
rnacentral:sRNA from 1 species